rnacentral:rRNA from 1 species
GGUUGCGAUCAUACCAGCACUAAUGCACCAGAUCCCAUCAGAACUUCGCAGUUAAGCGUGCUUGGGCGAGAGUAGUACUAGGAUGGGUGACCCCCUGGGAAGUCCUCGUGUUGCAACCC